rnacentral:sRNA from 1 species
UUGUGACUUGUGAUUUAUCACUUUCCUUCUAAAGGGUCAUCUUUGGGACCAAACAACAUAGAUAUGGUAUGCUGACUUCUGUUUAAAUGUGUUUGCAUAUUGAAAUAAAUAUUGAUGUUAGAUUCCCUGAAAAAGUUGUCUUGUGUAGUAUCUUGUGUGGGGGAAUUGGGGAAAUCAAGUGUGUGGCCUUGUUUGGAAAUAUGGUAUGCACCUAAUUUCUUUGGAUUGGUAGAGAAUUGAGAACUGAAGUCCCUGCCAAACCAAAUGGAUUGGGUUCAAUCCACCUUCAAAACAUGUCCUGAAGAGGUAGGUAAGGUAGGUAACUAUGUGUGCAAUUUUGAAUGGCAUGUUGUUUUGCAGGAAGGCAUGGGCACAUGGCAUGCAGAGAUAUCAUGGCUAAUAUUUUCUAUAUGUAGGGAUUUUGUAGAGCCUCCUUGUAGGGGAUGAAAUAUCUGGUCAAAAUUUUGAGGAGAUUUGGAUUUCAAGUGGUAUUAAUAAAAAGCUAUUGGAUUUUGCUAUAUAUCUGAUGAGAGAGAUAAUUAAGGGCCUGUUCACUUUGAUGUCAUUUUAACCAUACCAUUUUUUGGCAAAGUUAUCAAAAAAAUGUCUAUGUUUAAUUUGUUGCUAAAUUUAGUCAAUACAUAAGAAAUCCUGCUAAAAUUUUAGCAAGAAUUUUGGCAAUAUUACCAUCUUGCCAAAAUUUUGGCAUUGCCAAAACUUGGUAAGGUUUAGUUUGACUACAAUCUGAACAUGCCCUAAAUUGAUGCGCUCCUUACUACAGCCAGCAACAAUUGACUAAAAGGUGGCAUAGAAAACAGACAGCAGAAUAAGUACUGAUCAAGUCACAUGAGUCACAAGCUCAUUGAAUAAACUUAUUCAGAAAAAGUUUCCUGGUCUGAAUAAACUUUUUUUCUGGAUGUACUUUGAAUACAUACAUGCUCAUGGAACUGAGUUGUGUUUAUGGCUUCAUCCCUUCCAGGUAUUCAUCCAAGCUUUAUAUGCGCCCUUGAUAUGCAAAUAUCCUUUUUUUUUCUGGAACAGUGAGAAUAUUCUAGCUGGUCUCUCUCUAGUCUCUAUUACUACUGAUAGCAAGUAGGAGAUAAGCUUUUGCUUCCUGAAAUGGCUGAAUUAUUGUUGUUGAAGAGCUAGAAGUGGAUAUGGUACAAAUCUUUCUGUGACUUUGCACUGUGGUGAGCUGCUGAACUUUUUUCCAAGUGGAGGGUGGAAAAAGCAAACUGGUGGGCCAAAAAAAACGACCUCCACUGCUGCUGGGUUGGGGUCAUUAGGAUCAGGAUUCAGAUGGUUGAUAUUUCACAAUUGUUGGGACUGAUACUUCGCAAUUAUUGAGUACGUUUAGGAAUUUGGAUGUCUAUCUGUUCCUACUAGUACCUCUGUAGCGUGUGAUCAUUGAUGUCAGGUCAACUUGAACAGUGUGUCAGUGUGGCAUUAAUUGUACCAGCAUCAGUGAAAUGGGCCAAUCAAGUACUAGGUGGUGAUGAUAAUUGAUAAUGUUGUGUU